CCUACGGGAGGCAGCAGUGGGGAAUAUUGCACAAUGGGGGAAACCCUGAUGCCGCGACGCCGCGUGAGCGAUGAAGUAUUUCGGUAUGUAAAGCUCUAUCAGCAGGGAAGAAAAUGACGGUACCUGACUAAGAAGCCCCGGCUAACUACGUGCCAGCAGCCGCGGUAAUACGUAGGGGGCAAGCGUUAUCCGGCUUUACUGGGUGUAAAGGGAGCGUAGACGGCUUGGCAAGCCAGAUGUGAAAGGCUGGGGCUCAACCGCAGGACUGCAUUUGGAACUGUCAUGCUAGAGUGUCGGAGAGGCAGGUGGAAUUCCUAGUGUAGCGGUGAAAUGCGUAGAUAUUAGGAGGAACACCAGUGGCGAAGGCGGCUCUCUGGUCUGCAACUGACGCUGAGGCUCGAAAGCAUGGGUAGCGAACAGGAUUAGAUACCCGUGUAGUC
rnacentral:rRNA from 1 species